rnacentral:misc_RNA from 1 species
AAAAAUUGUGGAUAAAGAGGACAGAGAGAGGGGAACUUGCUUCAGGUUCAAUGCUUUGCUUAUUGCAUCAGCUAGGGCUCCUUCGACUGGUAAUACAAUGGGUGACAUUGAAAUGGGAUCCUACAACACAUAUCAGUAUUCAGUUUCUACUCCUAGCCUUAACAUCCGUGCCUCCAGUCCUAGGCAGUCCAAAAUUGGUUCUAGUCCCAAGAUUGAAGGAUCCCAUGUUGUUCUCUUGAUUCAAACUGCUGAGCGGCGAAGAAUUUUACAUAAAUUUAUGGAGAGCUUGGGGAUAGAAGUAUCGGUUGUAAGCAAAUGGGAACGCCUUCAUUCUACAUUAGCAAAGAUAAAAUCCAAUAUGCAUGUUCCACCUUACAGCUCUUCAGGAAGAUCAGAUUUUGGUUCAAGGAGUGAAAUUUGUAACAGCAGAUCAAAAGAUGUUCCUUUAAGUGCCUUGGAUGGGAUGGAAGAAAGGCUGCCUUCUCAUAGAAGUGGUAGCAUUUUUAGAAGUUCUGCAAGCUUUAUAUUGCUUGUGAUUGAUGCUAGUGCUGGACCAUUUCAAGAACUCUAUGGAACAGUAACUGAGUUUAGAAGAGGCCUCCGCCGAGCUUAUUGCAAGGUUGUUUGGUUAGAUAAACCAACUUUGCGUAGCAUCAACCCUGGAAGCCUUGACGAGCACAUGAUCCAUGCAGACGAUGACAUUUUGCUGAAACCGUUUCAUGGCUCUCGCUUGUAUCAGGUAAUUAAACUUCUACCAGAAUUUGGGGGUACCUUGCACCAUGGAGUUUCAUCCAUUGUAGCAUUAACGGCACAUACUUCAGGUGAAGAAGGGGAGAAGAUGAAGUCGGCAGGAAUGGAUCAUCAUUUGCGCAAACCGCUAAGGAAGGAACCCUUGCUGAAAGCCAUUAAACACAUUCAUGACAAAUGAAGGCGUCCGUUGUUGCAUUUCUCUUUAAUGUGCUUAGGAGAAGCCAUUGUAGAACUUCUGUAGGCAAGCAUUUAGCAUAAGCCUUUUUAUGCAAGUUACCCUAUUAGUAUUUUUCUUUAAAAAGAAAAGGUUAACUGUUAUUACGUGAUAAAAAUUAAAAAAAAAAAAAAA